rnacentral:rRNA from 1 species
AGAGUUUGAUCAUGGCUCAGGAUGAACGCUAGCGGCAGGCCUAAUACAUGCAAGUCGAACGGAUAUGAGGACUUCGGUUCUCAUGUUAGUGGCGCACGGGUGCGUAACGCGUAUGCAACCUACCUUUUACUGGGGGAUAGCCCGGAGAAAUCCGGAUUAAUACCGCAUAACAUCAUUUGAGGGCAUCCGAAGAUGAUUAAAGAUUUAUUGGUAAAAGAUGGGCAUGCGUGCCAUUAGCUAGUUGGUGGUGUAACGGACCACCAAGGCGACGAUGGCUAGGGGUUCUGAGAGGAUGAUCCCCCACACUGGUACUGAGAUACGGACCAGACUCCUACGGGAGGCAGCAGUAGGGAAUAUUGGGCAAUGGACGCAAGUCUGACCCAGCCAUGCCGCGUGCAGGAUGAAGGCCUUCUGGGUUGUAAACUGCUUUUAUCUAGGAAGAAAAAACCCUUGCGAGGGGAACUGACGGUACUAGGUGAAUAAGCACCGGCUAACUCCGUGCCAGCAGCCGCGGUAAUACGGAGGGUGCAAGCGUUGUCCGGAUUUAUUGGGUUUAAAGGGUGCGUAGGCGGCCCGUUAAGUCCGUGGUGAAAGCCAACAGCUCAACUGUUGAACUGCCAUGGAUACUGACGGGCUUGAGUACAGACGAGGUAGGCGGAAUGGAUGGUAUAGCGGUGAAAUGCAUAGAUACCAUCCAGAACACCGAUUGCGUAGGCAGCUUACUAGGCUGUAACUGACGCUGAGGCACGAAAGCGUGGGGAGCGAACAGGAUUAGAUACCCUAGUAGUCC